AAAGGAGGGUAGGCGGGAGGGCGCUGAUGGCUUUUCCAGAGAGGAAGCAGGGGAAGGUGCCAGGAAGAGAUAAGGCCUGUCCUGAUCCAGGAACCUCCAAGCCUUUUGCCUGGUCUCCAGGCUCCUAGACUCUCCUGCCUUGAAUCCACCCUCCAAAAGGAGCCCCAGUGAGGACUGAGCCCUGGAACUGCCUUCAUUAUUUAGGACUGGGAGCCCCAGCAGGACAGGACUGGAACCAUCGUGGUCACUGUUGUGUCUCCUGCACCACCCAACACCAGGCCAGGCAUAGAGGAGAUUUUGUUCAAUGCAACUGUUUGUUCAAUGUCAUUCAUUCAAUAAAUAUUUACAGAGCACCAAUUCUGUUCCGGGCACUGGGGAUAAAUCAGUGAAGGAAUUCAAAGAGCCCUGAUUGGC
rnacentral:lncRNA from 10 species